UGGGGAAUAUUCCACAAUGGGCGCAAGCCUGAUGCAGCAACGCCGCGUGAACGAUGAAGGUCUUCGGAUCGUAAAGUUCUGUUGCAGGGGAAGAUAAUGACGGUACCCUGUGAGGAAGCCCCGGCUAACUACGUGCCAGCAGCCGCGGUAAUACGUAGGGGGCUAGCGUUAUCCGGAUUUACUGGGCGUAAAGGGUGCGUAGGUGGUCUUUCAAGUCGGUGGUUAAAGGCUACGGCUCAACCGUAGUUAGCCUCCGAAACUGGAAGACUUGAGUGCAGGAGAGGAAAGUGGAAUUCCCAGUGUAGCGGUGAAAUGCGUAGAUAUUGGGAGGAACACCAGUAGCGAAGGCGGCUUUCUGGACUGCAACUGACACUGAGGCACGAAAGCGUGGGUAGCAAACAGG
rnacentral:rRNA from 1 species